UACGUAGGGGGGCAAGCGUUGUCCGGAAUUAUUGGGCGUAAAGAGCGUGUAGGCGGCCAGGUAGGUCGGUUGUGAAAACUGGAGGCUCAACCUUCAGAGGUCGACCGAAACCAUCUGGCUAGAGUCCGGGAGAGGAGAGUGGAAUUCCUGGUGUAGCGGUGAAAUUCGCAGAUAUCAGGAAGAACACCCGUGGCGAAGGCGGUUCUCUGGGACGGUACUGACGCUGAGACGCGAAAGCGUGGGGAGCGAACA
rnacentral:rRNA from 1 species